rnacentral:lncRNA from 1 species
AUGCCAGUGGAGGCCGAACACCGGGUCGGAGGGUUAGCUACGUGGCUAUGGCCAGGUUGGGCAAGCCCAGGGGCAGACCCUCUCGUGAGCCCGGGUCCGUCUGGGUUUGGCUUUCCCAAGAGAGGCCUUGGGCCGCUGCAGCAGCGAGGCCCAGAGCUGACUCGAGGCCGCCCGGCGAUCCGUCAGCCCCUCGCGAGUCGCGGGAUGCCGCGGCGGCGCUGGAGCGGGAGCGCUGCCCGUUCCUUCACGCCGCCCCGCGUCUCGGGGGGUCUCAGGAUGGCGCCAGCAGCGACGGCGAGCUGGCUCUGGCAGGUGCCGGGCGCGGGCUCCCAGGGUGCGCCGGGACCCGCGCGCUUUCGCCUUCAGUGCCCCUGGAGAAGCAGAUGUCUUGCGGUUUGCCUCGCCAGAGAGAGCCGGGUCAAUUCCUGUGCUCCCCCAUCAAAGGACAGCUUGAAUUCAAGGGAUUCUGUGUGGCUGCUGCAUACACUUCCAUGCAAACCUCGACACGUACUGCCCACACCCUCCCUCUCCUCCCCGCACUGGGUCAGAGUGCGUGGCACCAGCGGUGAGGGAGUGUCACAAUCAUGUCACAUUCUGCAGCAUCGUGUUUGGACUGAGGCUGGAAGCCUCUGUGCCCUUGGAUUUCCCUGAGGCUGCGCAGGAUGCUCUUAGGACGGCGGAAAGUCACACGCAUGUUCCACUCACCGACUGCGCUCGCUGGCUCUCACCGUCUCCCAUCUUGCAUCCCGCUGCCGCAACCAACCGAGCUCCCCGAGGUCAGCUGUACCCGGGCAUUGACGUCGUGAUUCUCCACCUGCGGAUUUAUCACCUUGAGAUUGAGUCAAAUCUCCUUAUCUUUCACUUGGGAGUACAAGAACAGUCUAUUUUUCCCCCUCACAGUGUAUCUAAAAAUCCGAGUGAAACUCGCACUUUCUAGUUUUCUUAUGCCAAAUCAACCUCUCUUAAUCUUUCACUUUGUACUUUCUCUCCAAAAUCUUGACUUGAACAUCUGUCCUCGGCCAGUCAAAGAGCCGCCUCCACUGGACCAUUUGCUUCUGCAAGAUUUUCUGGUCGUGGGCAGUGAGAACGAUAGAAGGCACUUUGCCGCACAGGCAGAGUGGCAGGUUCCUCAAAAGUUGGACUCAACUAGAAAUCUCUUGUUGGUAUCUAUUUUCAGAUUCAGAAAAAAGGUUUCAUUUUAGUGAACAAGUGCAGGGAAGACACAAAGAAAAGCAAAUUUUCAUAUUGACCAUGGUCAUAAAUUGUAUAAAAGCACUCAGCUCCACUUGAAAAAAGAGUUGCUAUUUUAAUAUAAACUUUUCUUAUGGGGAUUUUCAAAAUAUAAAACAUAUAAUGGUCAGGAACAUGAUAAUCUCUUUACAACCUGUGAUCAUAUUUUUUAACAGGAUUUUGCUUUCCAGUGCAGAUGGUUUGACGUAGUAACAUUCAAAGCAGCCAGCACUCAGUUAGGAAAUGCCAAGGCCAAUACUUGAAUGCAGAUACACGUUUUAACAAAAGAAAAUGUAUAUUCCUGUAGCUGUUUGCCUGUGAAUAUUCCCCAGAGGAUUAAUACACUAUUCUUGAAUCUAAUCCAAGUUGGCAAACUCUCUAAAAAGUCUGUGAGGUGUCAACCCUAAGGCACAUAGAAUUCCUUGUCACCAAAUAUUUUUGAGUAUCUACCAUGUACCAGGUAUUAGACUAUUGUGUUAGUGUUUGAGACCUUAAACUUUCAUCUUGACUUGAGUGUGGGGGCAAGGACAAGGAAGGUGGGAUUUUAAGGUUGGUUUCCUCCGGUUUUGUUAAAUUGUUAAAGUAUUUGUACUUAAUAGCAAUCUUUAAAUCUUUAAAAUAUUUAUUGAACUCGCUCUUACAUUUUUAGGUAUUUUUACAAGUAAAGGAGAGAAAGUCAGUGUUUAAGCCAACUCGUUUAUUGGAAAAUGAAUGCCAGCACAGGCUUAACUUUUGGCUUUCCAACUGGAAGACCUUAAUAUCAUGACAACAUUUUAUAAUAGUGUUAUUUCCAUCAUGCCAGGUGAUAAUUUCACCAUAGAUUCCUUAUGAUUGGUGACCAUAGCCCACUCAAGCCUGUUUUCACCUCCUGAUUCCAUAAGGAGCCAUAACAAGAAAAAAAACCUUCUUCCUCUGGCACCCUUGCUGAAAGGAGGGGUAAAGGAAGUGCCAAGCAGCUAGGCUGAUCCUCUUCUCAUUGUUCCUUGGGAGAACUUGGAACAGGACCAGCUCAGAUCCAGCUCGCUUCAGAGAAUCCAUGUCUUACAAGGAGUGAUGAGCUCUAUUGUCUUUGCCUCUAAUCCCAAAACACAGACAACUUCAAUGGAUCUGGAGACACACAGAUAUAAGGAGCCGAGAGGCCCCAUUCUACUCUUAACUCAUGCACUGUGUCACAGUGCCUAGGCACACUGCAUAUCUUAGCUACAUACUCCAUUUUUACAGGGUUUAACCCCUCUUCCCAUGUCCUCUCCCUCUAUACCUUCCCCAGCCCAUGCCUGGCAAGUGGGCCUGCCUCCAGGAACCAGACUGGGCGGAUGCUAUCAUGUCAGGACACCUGGCAGCAGUGUUUCUAACGUGUGUGAGACCAUGGUUGCCUUUUCCUUUCCCUGGAAAAGUACACAAAGUGCAAGUUGUCUUCCAGGCUGUGAGGCACACAUCCAAAUGCCCUAUGUGGUGGGCCCUCCCAGGCCCAGGAGAGUGUGGAGGAGAACACAAGUGUGUCAUAUGGGUGUGUUCACCAGUCCUGCUCCCCUCUGCCUCAUCCUUGACCACAUUCUCUUGACAGGCCAUAUGGCCUGGAACUGACCUGGAAUGUAUUAAGAGCAUUGUCUUGUAAAACCCUUGCAAAGCAAGGGAGCAAUGGCAGAGUGGGAUUUAAGACUUGUUAAUUCAUUUAACAUGUAUUUAUUGAGGAUCUUUAGUAUGGUAGGCCAUGUGGUAGGUACUAAGGAUACACCAAUGAAUAAAGAGCUAUGGUCUAGUGAGAAGACA